CCACCGAUUUGAAGAAGAUCAUUGGGGGGCGGAACCU
rnacentral:SRP_RNA from 1 species